AUCCUUUAAGAUAGAUUUCUACCAUGAAGUAGUAAGAGAGAGAGAGAGAGAGAGAGAGAGAGAGAGAAUGAAGAAAAAGGAAACACGAUGAAGAACCUGUGUGUUUGUCUUGCAAUAUUUCAUACUUAUCAUGUAUAUAUUAUUUGGAGUUUUUGUGAAGUAUGUGUUAUUCAUGGAACAUGAGAACUUCAGGGACGGGGUAUCCAAAGGAUAAAUGUACCAGACGAGGACAUAGGGCGGUGAGGCCUAUAGGGGUUACAUACUGGGUACAAUUUGUGAAGGAUAACCAAGAUAUGAAGUAAUGAUGUGAUAUGAUUUGGAUUGUGUAUCUUUUUAUUAUAUUUUUCUAGAGUGUAUAAAAUAGCAUUGCUUGACGGGCAUAUUAUAUAAUCUACUCACUGAGCGAUGGUUUACUCAUCCCUCACCUAUUUUAUUU